rnacentral:misc_RNA from 1 species
GGCAUAUUAAAAUGGAAAAGCCCAGAAGUUGUUCUUUGAAAGUAACAAAGGCAAAUUGAACACAUUUUAGAAGGGAUAAAUUACUUAUAUUGCUGUGAACAACAAUUUUUCAAACUUUACAGAUGCAUUAUUUUCUUUAAUAUUUCUUAUUUUUUUCCUUUCUUAUUAUUGGCUAAGACAGUCUACAUAGGAACAUCAGAAGGGUAGUCUUGUGGAUGUCUAUUGAUGGUUUCUCUAAGCUGUUUCUCUUGCUCGCGAAGAUUUGAUGGUGGAAGAUCAUAUACAUCAGAGAACAAGUUUCCUAGUGGAGGCUUCUCUGUUUUUUCUGCAACUUGAAUCGCCUGCAAUAGCUGCUUCCUGAUGCUGCUUCUAAGCUCUGAUUCUUCCUUCUCACUCCACCAGCCAUUUCUUUCAACCCAUUUUCUAAAUCUAUUUACAGGGUUUCGUGCCAUUUUCCAAUAUUCAAUUUCAUCUGCAGGACGAUACUUAGUGGAAUCAUCAGAUGUGGAGUGGUGUCCUACCCUAUAUGUGAGGGCCUCAACUAAUAUAGGCCUUUGUUCACUUAUAGCAAUUUCACGAGCUGCCCUAAUCGUUCUAUAAACAGCAAGAGCAUCAUUUCCAUCAACCCGUAUGCUUUGGAUUCCAUAAGCUUGACCCUUAACAACAAUGCCAUCGCUUCGAAAUUGCUCUGUUAUAUGGGUACUAAUGGCCCAGCCAUUGUUGCGACAGAUAAAAAUGACAGGGGCUUCCAUUACUGCUGCAAAGUUCAGAGCAGCAUGAAAAUCUCCCUGAAAAAUUUGUCAACAAUCAGAAAUUGGAUAUGAAAACUUCAAAACUUACAAGGAGAAACACUGGAGAAAUUAUAGUGCCAUUACCUCACUGGUACCACCAUCCCCAAUAUAUGUGACUACACAAGCAUCCUUUUUAUCCAUUUUAAGAGAAUAAGCAGCACCCACAGCUUGAGGAAGUUGAGUACUGAGAAGCAUAAAUGUUAAUGAAAACUAUUGGAGGCUUGUCAAAAUUGAGAGAGAUUCAAAUCAAAUGGUGAUGAGAUAUACAGGUUUUACUACAUACGCUAUAGGUGAGGAAACAGUGAAGUAAUUAAGCUUUUUAGACCCAUAAUGGAUUGGCAUCUGCCUGCCUUUCCCAUAAUCAGCCUUGUUUCCAAAGCACUGGUUGGCAAAUUCUUCAAGUGUGAAACCACGCCAUAAUAAAACUCCAGGCUCCCGGUACUGAGGCAGGACAACAUCAUCUGCAGCAAGAGCAGCUGCUGAUGCUAUAUUUGUUGCUUCUUCACCAACAGAUGUGACAUAGAAAGAAAUUCUUCCUUGCCUUUGUGCUUCAUAGAAUAUGGUAUCCAUCAUCUGAAGGGUGACCAUUUCACUGUACAUCUUUACUGCAACUUCCUUGCUUAUCUGAUCAAUAUCACUGUCCUCUAUUAGCUCCCCAUUGUCAUCAAGAAGUCGGUAACAGGGUAUUCUCUUGUCAUUAGAUUCAGAAAUGAAUCUCAUUUCAGAAAUAUAUGCAACUUUCCCUCCAGGAAAAUCCAAGGCCUGACUGUUUUCAUCAUCACUAGAGUAAAACUGAUCGAGUUGGCCUGAAGUUUUGGUGGAUUUGAAUCUGUGCACCAAGAAAGUGAAGGCUGAUGAGUAGCGCGAAAUUGAAGAAUUCUUAACGUCUGGGAUUCUUGAUGAAGAAGAAGAAGAA